UUUGAAUUUCAUAGUGCGCAAUUGAAGCUCGUCUCUGAUUGGAUACUGAAGUGAGAGCGGGAGAAGCACGAGCUCCUUGUUCACGGCUGCUGCAGCUGCUGUGCUAACGUCAAUUAACUUGCGAGCCAGCGGCGAUUGCUAGAGAGAAAACAGAGGCACAGCAGAAAUCUUCGGACCACUUUGUCAUUUUAAAAGUUUUUAGGACAAAUCUACGAUUUUAACACAAGUUUUUUGGAGGGUCUGCUGCUGUUCAAUCCGAAAAUUGAAAGUUUGCAAGGUACUGUGAAAUCACAAGAAGUGAGUUUGAGGCUGAUCCGAAUGUCUGUGGUCCUCCACGCACCCCAGAGACGUAUGACGCGGCUGUUGCUGAUCUCCAGGCUGAAAACAUCCAAGGUGUCAGAGGAAUAAAGGUGGCAUUUUUUCUUCAAUGCAAAUAUGAGUGACUCAGAGCAAACAUUCCUAGAUGUCGCCAUCAUGGAAGUCCUACCACAACUUCAAGCAGUGAACAAAAACAUCCUGGAAGAGCACUUGCAGUCCAUUGGAGUCGAGACGUAUGAUGAUCUACGCUUCGUAACGGAGGCUGAUUUGAUGACUGCAUUAAGAC